AGCUGGACAAGUGUGGAUGGUGCGUAGAUGGCUGAUGGAGCUGCAAAACCUCCGACAGGGCAGUGCUGCCAGAAGCCGGGGAGAGCGAGAGGGAGCCCUGAGCUGGUUGCUGGAACUCCAUUAGGACAAGGCCCUGAGAUUCUUAUUCUAUGCCCAUCACCCUGGUACCUGGACACCUUCCAGAGAGAGGUUCUUGCUCAGUGCUGACUCCAAAUGUGAAUAGAAAAUUGCCUCACAGCUGGAUACAAAGAAUCCACUGUCUCAACUCUGCUAUGUCCAGAAGUUGUUACAUCCAACAGUUGAUUGUAAGCCGGUCUCAGUCUAGUUCCUGGAGAAGACGUGUCCACCAAAUCACAACCGCCAUCACACUUCGCACCUUUAUUGUCAGUUGCUACAGCGAGGACAAGAACGAAAUGGAUGCUGAUGCUGAAUUCCCUGGAUCGAGAGACAUUGGCAUGACGUUGCUGGGGAAGCUUGCUCUACUACAGUCUGUUGCUGAAUCUGUUCUGACGCUACACAAAUGCCUCUUGGCUCCAGAACUUUGAACGUGGCACCUUUCACUGGGAAUAAAUUAACUUCAAAAGAGUUUCUGUAGCAAUGGUGGCGUUUUAUGAGAAGGGUAAAGACAAGGCAAGAGUAGUGCAAAUGGCUGGCAUUAGUGCUUUUGGAGAAACUAAUACUUAGGGUGUCUACUUUCGGCAUCUAUUAAAAUACUGAGGCAGAACCAUGGAUUUCUGCCUCCAUUCUUCAGUCCCAUUUGUAGGUCAUCAACUUAGUAAAGUAGGCUUUCAGAGGUCAGUGGAAAAAGAAAAUGUGGUUUUGCUCUGGGUAAUUAAACUUCCGUAUGGUUGUGCUUGGGUGCACAUCAAAUAUAAUGAGCUUGAAAAUCUUCCACCAUAUCACUGAUGUUUUGAGGGAUGUGAGGUGUGUAUCAAGCUGUUCUGCAGUGGAUCAAGAGCAUGAGUACCAGCCUCAGGGCAGUCUGUUAAGAAGCAGGGCAUAGACCCAAUAUGAGCUGUAAGUUCUAUACACAGGACUUGUCCGUACUUAAAAUUCUGCAGCUGCCCUACUGUAGUGCUUCAGUGAAGACAUUACCUAUGCUGACGGAAGGGCUUCUCCUGUUUCAACCCAUUUAUCCAUU